GGCAAACUCUAUGUGCUAAUGUG
rnacentral:siRNA from 1 species